CUGCUAGUCGCACGAGUUCAGACUCGUGGCGAAUAGCUCAGUAACACGUGGCCAAACUACCCUUCGGAGCACGAUACCCUCGGGAAACUGAGGCUAAUAGUGCAUACCACAAUCCAGCUGGAAUGAGGAUUGUGCCAAACGCUCCGGCGCCGAAGGAUGUGGCUGCGGCCGAUUAGGUAGACGGUGGGGUAACGGCCCACCGUGCCAAUAAUCGGUACGGGUCAUGAGAGUGAGAACCCGGAGACGGAAUCUGAGACAAGAUUCCGGGCCCUACGGGGCGCAGCAGGCGCGAAACCUUUACACUGCACGCCAGUGCGAUAAGGGAAUCCCAAGUGCGCAGGCAUAGAGCCUGCGCUUUUGUCCACCGUAGGGAGGUGGACGAAUAAGGGCUGGGCAAGACCGGUGCCAGCCGCCGCGGUAAUACCGGCAGCCCGAGUGAUGGCCGAUCUUAUUGGGCCUAAAGCGUCCGUAGCUGGCCGCACAAGUCCAUCGGAAAAUCCACCCGCCCAACGGGUGGGCGUCCGGUGGAAACUGUGUGGCUUGGGACCGGAAGGCGCGACGGGUACGUCCGGGGUAGGAGUGAAAUCCCGUAAUCCUGGACGGACCGCCGAUGGCGAAAGCACGUCGCGAGGACGGAUCCGACAGUGAGGGACGAAAGCCAGGGUCUCGAACCGGAUUAGAUACCCGGGUAGUCCUGGCCGUAAACAAUGUCUGUUAGGUGUGGCUCCCACUACGAGUGGGUGCUGUGCCGCAGGGAAGCCGCUAAACAGACCGCCUGGGAAGUACGUCCGCAAGGAUGAAACUUAAAGGAAUUGGCGGGGGAGCACUACAACCGGAGGAGCCUGCGGUUUAAUUGGACUCAACGCCGGACAUCUCACCAGCAUCGACUGUAAUAAUGACGAUCAGGUUGAUGACCUUAUCCGAGUUUCAGAGAGGAGGUGCAUGG
rnacentral:rRNA from 1 species